rnacentral:misc_RNA from 1 species
AAGUCGUAACAAGGUUUCCGUAGGUGAACCUGCGGAAGGAUCAUUACCUGCCGUGGGGACGCCGUGCUCCGGCACGGUGAGCCCCUCACGCGGCCACCCGUGCUUACCUGAACCCCUUGUUGCCUCGGUGGGCGUUGCCCGCCAUCAGGCCUUCACAGAACCUGUAUAACCUGAGUGAUGUCUGAGUGGAUCGAUGGAAUUAGUUAAAACUUUCAACAAUGGAUCUCUUGGUUCCG